UGCUGCAGUUACAAACACGCCACAAGGUCUGGCUUUCUACACGGGUGCCCGGGAUCUGACCUCGGGUCCUCAGCUCUUCCUGCUUUCAAGGCGUUAAGGUACAAAGACUAAAUAAACACUCAUCACGACCCUCGAGGAUACAACAGACUAACGGAGGAGGCAGAUGAAGCCAGUGCAGGAUGCCUAGCAUUGCCAGCCAGAAGAUUUCGCCACACAGUUACAUGGAGUGGGCUGCUCUGUUUGGCUUCACCCCUGGGAGACGUGCGGCAUCCCCAGUCGGCUCUCCCGCUUUCACAGAUUGGGAUCUAGUCGUCGUUCACCAUGUUACAGAGCAUAAAUCCAAGCCACUGAUUUAAAAAAAGAAAAAGAAAGAAAGAAACGUGGACAUUUGGGAGUCAACCUAACUGGAAAAAAAUGGAAGUCCAGACACUGAACCAUGAAGACGAGGAGUGCAUGAGAUGGCAGAGGAAGGCACAAACUGUGAGCAGGGGACCCACAGAGGACGCAAGAAUCUUGAAGCUUUGUAGACAGCACGGACCCAGGACAGCUGGUGGAGAGUGGGAAGGGGAUUACAACAACUCGGAGCUCUUGCAAGCCUUGCUGUCUCACAGAGCUAGGCCUCCAUGGCUGUCCUGGUGAACCACGGCUCAGCCUGAGCUCUGUUUUUGCGUGAAGGUCACUUGGACCCCUUCUCCAGAAUCUUCUUCUCCAAGGUGGAAGUUGUGUGGACACAAAUGACUACUCUCCUGACAGGCACACAGUAAGAAAUAAAGAAUGACUUUUCUUUCACAGGCUUCAACCUCACUGCAUGGCUUGUCACUGGCUGAAACAAUGACAAAGACAUUGUGCCCUGCUCCUUCUCCCCUUAGCUUGGUCCCUACUACUAGUUCUGGGAGCUGUGUACUUGGAUUCCAAUUUACAACCACGAUAGUGAGAGGAAUAAUGAUUACCUUCAUGUUUCUCAACAUUUGCCCAAGCAUUUAUAUCAUGAAGUAAUUUUCAUUAAGACGAACCAUUUUCACUUACGGAUAGAUUUCUUUGUUUUGUUUGAGACGCUAUCUUACUAUGUAGCUCUAGUUAGGCUGUAACUCAC
rnacentral:lncRNA from 1 species